rnacentral:tRNA from 1 species
GCCCGGCUGGCUCAAUCGGUAGAGCGUGAGACUCUCAAGGCUCAAAUAGCUAGGCAUCUCAAGGUUGUGUGUCCGACCCCCACGUCGGGCU